GAUGAAUGCUGGCGGCGUGCCUUAAGCAUGCAAGUCGACCGACGUGCUCGCAAGAGUUACGAGGGGCGGACGGGUGAGUAACACGUGGGAAUCUACCCUAAAGUGGAGGAUAACUAGCCGAAAGGUUAGCUAAUACUGCAUGUGAUCGCAAGAUCAAAGCCUGUAACUGGGCGCUUUAGGAUGAGCCUGCGGCCUAUCAGCUAGUUGGUGGGGUAAAGGCCUACCAAGGCAACGACGGGUAGCUGGUCUGAGAGGAUGGUCAGCCACAAUGGCGCUGAGAUACGGGCCAUACACCUACGGGUGGCAGCAACUGGGAAUCUUCGGCAAUGGGCGAAAGCCUGACCGAGCGACGCCGCGUGAAGGAUGACGGCCUUCGGGUUGUAAACUUCUUUUACAUGGGACUAAUUUUGACCGUACCAUGAGAAUAAG
rnacentral:rRNA from 1 species